GGGCGCAAGCCUGAUGCAGCGACGCCGCUUGAGGGAUGACGGCCUUCGGGUUGUAAACCUCUUUCAAUAGGGACGAAGCGCAAGUGACGGUACCUAUAGAAGAAGGACCGGCCAACUACGUGCCAGCAGCCGCGGUAAUACGUAGGGUCCGAGCGUUGUCCGGAAUUACUGGGCGUAAAGAGCUCGUAGGUGGUUUGUCACGUUGUUCGUGAAAACUCACAGCUUAACUGUGGGCGUGCGGGCGAUACGGGCAGACUAGAGUACUGCAGGGGAGACUGGAAUUCCUGGUGUAGCGGUGGAAUGCGCAGAUAUCAGGAGGAACACCGGUGGCGAAGGCGGGUCUCUGGGCAGUAACUGACGCUGAGGAGCGAAAGCGUGGGGAGCGAACAGGAUUAGAUACCCUGGUAGUCCACGCCGUAAACGGUGGGUACUAGGUGUGGGUUUCCUUCCUUGGGAUCCGUGCCGUAGCUAACGCAUUAAGUACCCCGCCUGGGGAGUACGGCCGCAAGGCUAAAACUCAAAGAAAUUGACGGGGGCCCGCACAAGCGGCGGAGCAUGUGGAUUAAUUCGAUGCAACGCGAAGAACCUUACCUGGGUUUGACAUGCACAGGACGCCAGUAGAGAUA
rnacentral:rRNA from 1 species